UACGUAGGUGGCAAGCGUUGUCCGGAAUUAUUGGGCGUAAAGCGCGCGCAGGCGGUUUCUUAAGUCUGAUGUGAAAGCCCACGGCUCAACCGUGGAGGGUCAUUGGAAACUGGGAGACUUGAGGUGCAGAAAGAGAAGAGCGGAAUUCCACGUGUAGCGGUGAAAUGCGUAGAGAUGUGGAGGAACACCAGUGGCGAAGGCGGCUCUUUGGUCUGUAACUGACGCUGAGGCGCGAAAGCGUGGGGAGCGAACAGG
rnacentral:rRNA from 1 species